AGUAACGGCGAGUGAACCGGGAAAAGCUCAAAUUUGUAAUCUGGCUGUCUUCGAUAGUCCGAGUUGUAAUCUAUAGACGUGUUUUCCGUGCUGGACCGUAUCUAAGUCCCUUGGAACAGGGUAUCAAAGAGGGUGACAAUCCCGUGCUUGAUACGACCACCAGUGCUCUGUGAUACACGCUCUACGAGUCGAGUUGUUUGGGAAUGCAGCUCAAAAUGGGUGGUAAAUUCCAUCUAAAGCUAAAUAUUGGCGAGAGACCGAUAGCGAACAAGUACCGUGAGGGAAAGAUGAAAAGCACUUUGGAAAGAGAGUUAAACAGUACGUGAAAUUGUUGAAAGGGAAACGAUUGAAGUCAGUCGUGUUCUUUGGAUUCAGCUAGUUCUUCUAGUCUACUUCCAUUGAACGGGUCAACAUCAGUUUUGUCCGGUGGAUAAAGAUAGUAGGAAUGUAGCUCCCCCGGGAGUGUUAUAGACUAUUAUUGCAUACACUGGGUGAGACUGAGGACUGCAGCUCGCCUUUUGGCCGGUCUUCGGAC
rnacentral:rRNA from 1 species